rnacentral:rRNA from 1 species
GUGGGGAAUCUUGCGCAAUGGACGAAAGUCUGACGGAGCAACGCCGCGUGAGUGAUGAAGGUCUUCGGAUUGUAAAGCUCUGUUAAUCGGGACGAAAGAGCCUAGUGUGAAUAAUGCUAGGAAGUGACGGUACCGGAAUAGAAAGCCACGGCUAACUACGUGCCAGCAGCCGCGGUAAUACGUAGGUGGCAAGCGUUGUCCGGAAUUAUUGGGCGUAAAGCGCGCGCAGGCGGAUCUGCCAGUCUGUCUUAAAAGUUCGGGGCUUAACCCCGUGAUGGGAUGGAAACUACAGAUCUAGAGUAUCGGAGAGGAAAGUGGAAUUCCUAGUGUAGCGGUGAAAUGCGUAGAUAUUAGGAAGAACACCAGUGGCGAAGGCGACUUUCUGGACGAAAACUGACGCUGAGGCGCGAAAGCCAGGGGAGCGAACGGGAUUAGAAACCCCGGUAGUCC